GAAGGAUCAUGGUACUGAAGAUCUAUUUUAUAGUUUUUUAUAUCCCAUUGUUUACUUACCCUGUUGCUUUCACUGGACAGAUUUCACCUUGUGUGAGGUCCUUUGGCUUGUGUGAAAUACCACUUGCCAAAGAGUUAGCCAGUGGUAAGACCUAUUUAUCAAAACUUGAGUUUCAAUAAACACAACUGUCUGAAUAUUUUUUUUCUUUAAUGAAAUAAAACUUUCAACAACGGAUCUCUAGGCUCUUGCAUCGAUGAAGAACGCAGUGAAAUGCGAUAAGUAAUGUGAAUUGCAGAAUCUCGUGAAUCAUUGAAUCUUUGAACGCACAUUGCGCCCUAUGGUAUUCCAUUGGGCAUGCCUGUCUGAGCGUCAGCUCCCCCUCCACUCAAGAAUUAUUUUAUAUGAUACUUGGAUUACUUUGUAGAUGUAACUGUAUAUUAAGUUGCCCUCCAGAAAUUCAUUGUGACAGUGGGGUUUGUACUUGGACCAGACGUAAUAGUAAAAUGGGUCGUUUGCCCUUUGUGUAUAAUUGAAUUGUACUUGUCUUAACCCCCACCCCAUUUUUAUAUUGGGGGUGACCACAUCAAAAUGGAGUUCCGCCCUGAGGGCUUCCGCAUGUCA
rnacentral:rRNA from 1 species